GUGCCCGCCGCCGCGGUAAUACGGAGGGUGCCAGCGUUUAAUCGGAAUUACUGGGCCGAAAGCCGCACCCCAGGGCGGGUUGGUUAGUCCGAUGUGAAAUCCCCCGGGGCUCAACCUGGGAGCUGCAUCUGAUACUGGCAAGCUUGAGUCUCGUAGAGGGGGGUAGAAUUCCAGGUGUAGCGGUGAAAUGCGUAGAGAUCUGGAGGAAUACCGGUGGCGAAGGCGGCCCCCUGGACGAAGACUGACGCUCAGGUGCGAAAGCGUGGGGAGCAAACAGGAUUAGAUACCCUGGUAGUCC
rnacentral:rRNA from 1 species